CCUACGGGGGGCUGCAGUGGGGAAUUUUCCGCAAUGGGCGAAAGCCUGACGGAGCAAGACCGCGUGAGGGAGGAAGGCUCUUGGGUUGUAAACCUCUUUUCUUGGGGAAGAACAAAAUGACGGUACCCAAGGAAUCAGCAUCGGCUAACUCCGUGCCAGCAGCCGCGGUAAUACGGAGGAUGCAAGCGUUAUCCGGAAUUAUUGGGCGUAAAGCGUCCGCAGGUGGCACUUCAAGUCUGCUGUCAAAGACCGGGGCUUAACCCUGGAGAGGCAGU
rnacentral:rRNA from 1 species